rnacentral:rRNA from 1 species
AGCAGCCGCGGUAAUUCCAGCUCCAAUAGCGUAUAUUAAAGUUGUUGCAGUUAAAAAGCUCGUAGUUGAAUUUCGGGAUCAUUAGGUUGGUCGUGCCUCUGGUAUGUACUGAUCUCGGUGGUUCCUACUUCUUGAAGAACCGUAAUGCCAUUAAUUUGGUGUUGCGGGGGAACAGGACUGUUACUUUGAAAAAUUAGAGUGUUUAAAGCAGGCAAUCGCUUGAAUACAUUAGCAUGGAAUAAUGAAAUAGGACGUUCGAUCCUAUUUUGUUGGUUUCUAGGAUUGACGUAAUGAUUAAUAGGGAUAGUUGGGGGCAUUAGUAUUCAAUUGUCAGAGGUGAAAUUCUUGGAUUUAUUGAAGCUAACUACUGCGAAAGCAUUUGCCAAGGAUGUUUUCAUUAAUCAAGAACGAAAGUUAGGGGAUCGAAGACGAUCAGAUACCGUCGUAGUCUUAACCAUAAACUAUGCCGACUAGGGAUCGGAUGAUGUUAAUUUUAUAAUGACUCAUUCGGCGCCUUACG